rnacentral:rRNA from 1 species
GACGGGGGGGGCAAGUGUUCUUCGGAAUGACUGGGCGUAAAGGGCACGUAGGCGUGAAUCGGGUUGAAAGUGAAAGUCGCCAAAAAGUGGCGGAAUGCUCUCGAAACCAAUUCACUUGAGUGAGACAGAGGAGAGUGGAAUUUCGUGUGUAGGGGUGAAAUCCGAUAGAUCUACGAAGGAACGCCAAAAGCGAAGGCAGCUCUCUGGGUCC